UCUCAGUCUGUACCAGUGAGCUUACCAACAAUUUCCUAGUGUGUCGUCGCCGUGCAAUUUGGAUACCGUUGCCUGUCUGAUUACCCGAGUACCGGGAAAAUAAUGUGACCGGAUGAGUGUUUUCCCCUCCCUCUUACCUGCACACAGGGGUGUGGACCAGCAUACCUGGGGCUAAUUCCGAUUGAUUGGGAGAGGCGGGGCCAUUACAUAAGCCUGUGGUGUGUGGACUCGCUUUGUUGUCUUCUCCUGCUGGGUGUCUAUGGAGACGUGUCCGGGAGGCGUGCUUCAUGUUUUGGCCGCUGCCCUAGGUCAUCAUUCUGCUGCGGUGUGUCUUAAUUGUUAUAGUGUGGGCCGCUGUCUGUGUGUGCGAGGUGGGUGCCACUGCCGGGGUCCGUGGGCGGCCUGUACUGUAAUUCGCUGGACCGGGCUGCAGCCUUGGACAUGCUAUUGUGGGGCUAUCCUGGUGCCACGACUAAUUAAAGGGCCAAUAUUCCCCAGAGCGUUCUCCCUCCCCCACUGAACCUGUUCUUGAUACCGGCUGAAACCCAUCUGGUAAAACUUCUGACUACACAAGCAAUCUGGAAACUGGUACAAAAAUGUCUCUCUAUAGUGUAUUAACUGUUGUGUAUGUGUAUAUAUUGCAUGUAGGUCUUUUCCUUUUUUUUAUUUUGUUUGCAUCUUCCUUUUUAUGCAUGCCGGUUUAUUGAUUUGAAUUGUUUUGUUUAUUUUCUUAUCACUGAUCUACUCCUUAACAAAUAACAUAUUGUCAUUUUAAAAUGAAUAUUUAACUAAAUAAAACCGUAUAUUUUUAUAAUUCCCUUAUGGUCUCUGACCCCUGAUUUUGGUGAACGGCUCUGUGUGCCUUAACGUGAAUGGUCUUGGGCCUAUCCCAAGUGGCGUUGUUGGACAUUGUUAUUUUCCUUGAGUGUCAUAGGCCACUCGUAUUGCCACAAUAAGUAAGAAAAUAAAUGUAGUUUGACUACACUGUAACCACAUCCAUCUUUAGAGCGAUCUCUAGCUUUCCGCAUCUGGUGACCACUUCUUCCAUUCUGCUCAGUCCUGUGUAUGCGGAAUCUGAAUAACACUUCAUUGCCUUGUAAAAAAGAUCUUUCCACUGUUAAUGUGGGAUCCACGCUCAGAACAAUCACAUAUGGCCUCAGUUGUCUCCAAGUUGACAUCUCCUUGUGCCGCUUGUAUAGCACUAUUCUCUUUGACAGUUCGAUCGUCUUAAUCUUCCAUAAAAAUGUUACCCCAAAUUACACUACCAGGCAAUAGCCAUAGUCAUAUGGGCAACAUGCAAGCGGAUGUAAAGGACUUUGCUUCUGUUGAUUAAACUGAAAAGUCCAUUCCAAAGAGUGACUGGCAGGAUAUAACAGUGUGGUUAACACACACCAGAGGACCAUAUUGAGUGUGUGUAUAUUGAAUGAAAAGGUACAGUCUGCAGUUAACUGUAUAAUACAUAUAUUUUUGACCAUGCAUUUACAGGGACUUAUGGAAAGACAAUCCCUUUAUAUGUAUUAGAUCCCUAUAAAAACAGAACAAAUUUGCUUUUCUAAUGCUGUUGCCACAUAAAAUGUCAUCUAUUCCCAGUUUGAUUUAAAUCUUUAUUUUGUGUGCCUG
ensembl:lncRNA